GCCUAUAGCAACCAGACUUUCAUUUCCACAUGUGCAGGGAAAAUGAAAGCUGCCCUUUGAUUGGUUGCUGUCCUUGUUGCCUAUAGCAACCAAUCAGAGCUCAGCUUUCAUUUCGUAAACUGCUGUGCUAAAAUAAAAUCUGAGUCCCUGUUGGUUGUCAUGAGUUUGGAUCAUCUCCCCCAUUAUUUUGUGUGGUACAGCUCCGGGCACGUAAGGUAGAGCUGCUGUCCCUGCACACCUGUCCUCACGUGACCGCCCCGCCGCUAGGCUCAGUGCUGUGUCCUGGGGGAACGGGGCGGGGUCGUCCUGUCAGUCGGUCGAUGACGUCACUGCAAGAUGGCGCCAGCCGGGGAGGGGGAGGAAGGAGCGGAGAGAAACGGAUAUGCAAGUUUGGUGGUCGUGCCCCCCGAGCAGAUGGAUCCUCGGCCGCUGUUCCAGGCGGUGGAUGCCCUCUGCCAGGACAACAUCCUUCAUUUUGGGGAGUCCACCUCUGAAGUGUCCUCCCGGCUGGUGCAGGCGUUUUACCGUAUUCAAGAACAAGCCCAUGGACUGGAGCCUGCCCUGCGUGCCCUCGCUGCAGUAUGUCCCCUGUUUGACCUGGACCCCGACACCCCGGCUAAUGGCUACCGCAGUCUGAUAAAGGUGGUACUGUCCUGCACCCAACACAUCCUCCACAAGUGCCGCUAUGUCACGUCCAGCCGCCGCAGCCUCUUCUUCAGAGCCGCCCACAACUGCGCCGAGCUGGAGGCCUACGGAGCCGCUCUCACCCAGCUACGCGCUUUGCUCUGCUUCGCACAGCGCCUGCUCACCGCCAACCGUCACGGCGACCUGUUCUUCCGCCAGGAGCGAGGCUUGUCGGAGGAGUUUCUAAAAGAGUACAGCACUAUGCACAAAGGCUGCUUCUACGGACGGUGUCUUGGCUUCCAGUUCACCCCAUCCAUCCGCCCAUUCCUGCAGACUAUCUCCAUCGGACUCGUGUCUUUUGGGGAGAAUUACAAGCGACAUGGAUCUGGAUUAACUGAUGGAGCACUAUCCACCUAUUACGGUGUAGCUGCCAGCUCUUUCUUUAUAAGCGGGAGGUACGCCAUCGAUCCCGAGCUUCGAGGAGCAGAGUUUGAGAGGAUCACGCAGAACCUGGAUGUGAACUUUUGGAAAACGUUCUGGAACAUCACAGAGAUGGAAGUGCUCACGUCUAUAGUUGGCAUAGCUUCCACAACUGUGCGCAUCAACAAGACUCUUACGGUGCCCCCCAAGCAGUUGGAGAUGCCUCUGUGUUCUGACCCACAUCUCACUGUUACCAUCAAUCCACCUGUAGCUCAUACUGGACCGGGCCCAGUCCACAUGCGUCUCAUAUCAUAUCAGCUGCGGGAAGGACAGGAGAGUGAAGAACUUAAUGCUUUCGCCAAACCCGAGGGCCCGCUCAGCCUGGAUCUUCAUCUCCGAUCUCGUCCAGGCCCACUUUCUCCUGACCUGAUUAUUCAUUUCCAUGGAGGAGGUUUUGUAGCUCAGACCUCCAAGUCUCAUGAACCCUACCUGAGGACAUGGGCUCAGGAACUGGAAGCUCCCAUCUUGUCUGUGGAUUACUCACUGGCCCCUGAGGCUCCUUUCCCGAGGGCCCUAGAGGAAUGCUUCUAUGCUUACUGCUGGGCACUGAAAAACUGCCGGCUUCUGGGAUCCACAGGGGAGAGAAUCUGCCUGGCGGGUGACAGUGCCGGUGGUAAUCUUUGUAUCACAGUGUCCCUCCGUGCAGCCUCUGUCGGCAUUAGGUUACCAGAUGGUAUUAUGGUGGCAUACCCAGCCACAUUACUGCAGGCUACAGCUUCCCCCUCCCGCCUCCUUACCCUGAUGGACCCGUUGCUGCCCCUCAGCGUUCUGUCAAAGUGUCUAAGCGCCUAUGCAGGCACCGAGCGCGUUGCAGUAGAGGAUCGAGCCAUUGAAAAGCAGAGUGCGGUCAGCCAAGUAAAGCGAGGAACUGCAUUGUUCCUUAGAGACAUCCGCCUGGGCGCUGCCUCCUGGCUGAGUAAUCUAAUAGAAGGGAAUAAGGAGAAAAGUAGUGCUGAAACUGUAAGGAAAAGCGUAUCCGAGGCAGCACUGGCCGAUGAGGACACCAUAAACAGACAUCUGUCCCUGAAGAGCAGGACUACCCAGGAUCUCAGCCGACAUCAGUACAGUGAGCUCAGUGUAGGGCAGCUCACCCUGAGCCAACAAAAUGCACAGAGGGGAGCACAGACUAGAUCAGAAGGGGAUACUGGAAGGAACCAACCAUCUCCAUCUUCCUUAUCUGUCCAGUCCAGCCCAGGAGCUGGCGCACCGCAAUCUCCAACCAGUCAGCAGGAACAGGUCAGUUUCUUUCUGACAGAGAGCGAGAGCGAUCACUCCUACGACACAGACCACGCAACACACUCCAAGGAGAACAUUCCUCCGGUGCACUUAGCGGAGGACAGGUCCUCUCAGCUCUCCAACCCUCAUUUGCUGGGGUUUCCUGAAGGAUUCCAGCCUCUGCGCUCCCUGAAUGGCGUGGCUAAUAUGACCCUACAGACUUCUGCUAUUGUCCACAAUCCCUACAUGUCACCUCUGCUGGCACCCGACAGUAUGCUGCAAGGUCUUCCCCCCAUUCACAUUGUGGCGUGUGCCCUGGACCCAAUGUUGGACGACUCUGUGAUGUUUGCCAAGAGGCUGCGCUCCCUCAACCGGCCAGUAACGCUUAAAGUGGUAGAAGAUCUUCCCCACGGCUUCCUUACCCUCGCGCACCUUUCACAAGAGACGAGAAACGCCACCGGCGUAUGUAUAGAGCGCAUUCGGCAAAUCCUACGAGAGGAGCCUCCCGCGCCACCAGCCGGUGCUCCCAGGAAACACCGCAAGCUGGAGAGGACCCACGGGAAGACCCCUAUAACCGAGCGAGAGAUCGGUGCUUGAAACUUUAAUAAGAGUCUUUACAAAGUGCAACAACCAACCUACUUCACUCAACACUCCCAUUGUAAUAGCAAAUUACCAGCAGAGGCCAAUGCAACUCGCGGGCCUGGUGUACACUGGUUACAGCCUCCGAACUGUGAGACAGUUAUAAUGAGGGAAGCAAAGUACACCAUACUGUAUCCAUGAUCACAUACGUCCUCCCUGCCGAAAGGAAACCAUUUAAUCUAUAGGGUCAGUAUCUGUUUUUCUGCUGCAGGCAAUGGAUUUUAAAGAGAAUUUCAAGGGAUUGUAGAUAAACCUACCAUAUAAAUACCAUCCGGGGGGGGGGGGGGGUCAUAUAAUUUCAGGACGUCAGGUGAUUGACAGCCAGAUUAGUGGAUGGUCACUCCUGCGGGGGGCACUGUGGUUAUAGCUGUUUACCUCUGUACUGUUGUAUUGCACAAUGUCUAUAUAAGCUCAGAAUGACCGGGGGGUUCCCUCCAUAUGCGGACGGGCUCUACUAUUAUGUAUUCUUCUCUUGUCAUUGCUCCCGUUGUGUUCUAGACCCCGUAGCCUCCUGCUCUGACCUAAAAGGUGCAAAAGCAGUGCCGCCGCUCUACCAAAGAGACAGGGAGUAACAACCAGGUCCGGCCAGACAGCAUUUAAUACAGGACCAAAGUUCAAGAGGGUCUUCAACUUCUUUAUUGCAUCAUUUUAGGAACCACGGCUCAGCAGGUGAAUUAUGUUUGGUCUGUCUGGUCUAUUUGCUCUACGUGCCCAUAAUACAAGCAGCUGGUCAGGGGUUUUCUUAUCAUUGUCCUUCUAGCUCAGCUGUACCAAUAUUUAGCAGAGACUCCACAUCGGUACUGUGACUGGUUCUUGGAACACUAAGGGCUUUAAAAGGGGUACUCCGCCCCUAGACAUCUUAUCCCCUAUCCAAAGGAUAGGGGAUAAAAUGUAUGAUCACGGGGGUCUCACAGCUGGCACCCCCACAAUUUCUGUGCAGCACCCGGCGUUCGUUUAGAAGUGUCCCUGUCGUUUGACACAUCAGACAGAAAUGUCAUGUUUUGUUCGCUCGCGGUCUCAGUGUCCAGACCCCCACUCACCUAUAGAUAUGACUGGGAGAAGAGCGCAGCACUGCCCUUUACUCCCUGGCUGGCUACGAUCUUACAAUGGAGCCCGUCUUGUCAGUCAGGAAGUGAAGGGCACAGCUGUACUCUUCUCCCGGUGAUAUCUAGAGAUCUGUUGGGGUCUGAACACUAAGACCUCCAGUGAUCAAAACUUUCGACAGGUCUGUCUGAUGUGUCAAACGUUUUCCUAAAUAACAGUAAAGAUUUUAAGGUCAGGUUUUUAUAAUCCAUGAGCACUAUUAUGUAUAAUCUCUAAUAAACCCGCUGUAUCCUGUGUAUUCAUAAUGUAUAUAACCCAUGUAAUUUUGUAUAUAUACACCUUUAUACUCCUCUGUAUAUACUCACACACGAAUCAGAUUGACUUGUAUAUCCUGUAAACAUGCAUGUAUAUAUACAGGCUUAUGUAGCUGUGUAAAUAUCUAUACAUAUAUUUUUAAUGUACAUAUACAUUUCCUACUAGCUGCACAUUAAGUGGACGCAGCCAAACAUUCGAGUAGUCACAUUGUUGGAGCGUCCUGUAACCACUGAUCUCUGUUAUAUAUAUGUAUGUGUGUAUAUAAUGUAUACUCUUUGUCCCAGCACUGUCUCUUAUCCAAGGGUAAAAUGCUAUUUUUCUGUGGUUGGUUUUUACCUGUGAAUAAAAUAUCUUA